UUACGGAUCGUGCAAAUGGAUAGACACAGGUAGACAAUACUGAAGAGUGCGGGUUCGAGUCCCGCUCCGUAAA
rnacentral:tRNA from 1 species